rnacentral:rRNA from 1 species
UACGGGGGGAGCAAGCGUUGUUCGGAAUUACUGGGCGUAAAGGGCGCGUAGGCGGCUUAUCAAGUCAGGCGUGAAAUUCCCGGGCUCAACCUGGGGGCUGCGCUUGAUACUGAUUGGCUUGAAUGCGGGAGAGGAUAGUGGAAUCCCCAGUGUAGAGGUGAAAUUCGUAGAUAUUGGGAAGAACACCGGUGGCGAAGGCGGCUAUCUGGCCCGUAAUUGACGCUGAGGCGCGAAAGCGUGGGGAGCAAACAGG